CAGCAGCCGCGGUAAAACGUAGGUGGCAAGCGUUGUCCGGAAUUAUUGGGCGUAAAGCGCGCGCAGGCGGAUCAGUUAGUCUGUCUUAAAAGUUCGGGGCUUAACCCCGUGAGGGGAUGGAAACUGCUGAUCUAGAGUAUCGGAGAGGAAAGUGGAAUUCCUAGUGUAGCGGUGAAAUGCGUAGAUAUUAGGAAGAACACCAGUGGCGAAGGCGACUUUCUGGACGAAAACUGACGCUGAGGCGCGAAAGCCAGGGGAGCGAACGGGAUUAGAUACCCGAGUAGUCCCUGUCUCUUAUACA
rnacentral:rRNA from 1 species